rnacentral:rRNA from 1 species
AAUGGGGGCAACCCUGACGCAGCGAUGCCGCGUGAGUGAGGAAGGCCUUCGGGUUGUAAAGCUCUGUUCUGAGGGAAAAAUGGCGUAUGGCUGAAUAAUCCAUGCGAGUGAUGGUACUUCAGUAGAGAGCACCGGCUAACUUCGUGCCAGCAGCCGCGGUAAUACGAAGGGUGCAAGCGUUGUUCGGAUUUAUUGGGCGUAAAGGGCGAGUAGGCGGACAAGCAAGUCAGGUGUGAAAUCUCGGGGCCUAACCCCGAAACUGCGUCUGAAACUACUAGUCUAGAAUGUCGGAGAGGGAAGGGGAAUUUCGCAUGUAGGAGUAAAAUCCGUAGAGAUGCGAAGGAACACCAGAGGCGAAGGCGCCUUCCUGGAAGACGAUUGACGCUGAGGCGCGAAAGCGUGGGGAGCAAA